rnacentral:rRNA from 1 species
UACGUAGGGGGCAAGCGUUAUCCGGAAUUAUUGGGCGUAAAGAGCUCGUAGGCGGUUUGUCGCGUCUGCUGUGAAAACUGGAGGCUCAACCUCCAGCCUGCAGUGGGUACGGGCAGACUAGAGUGCGGUAGGGGAGAUUGGAAUUCCUGGUGUAGCGGUGGAAUGCGCAGAUAUCAGGAGGAACACCAAUGGCGAAGGCAGAUCUCUGGGCCGUAACUGACGCUGAGGAGCGAAAGCAUGGGGAGCGAACAGG